UUUGUCUCUGUGAGGUUAGGAAAUCAAUCAAAGAGACUGCCUUAAUUCUCUCUAAUGAUGAUGUUGAUGGUGGCAGGGCUUGGCAAGGCGAGGUGUAGGCUCGAUGCAUGGAGGUGGGACUGU